rnacentral:siRNA from 1 species
CCCUACACUCUCAACACAUGCUGC